rnacentral:lncRNA from 1 species
GGCGUCCCGAGGAGCCCAGGACGCGUCAGCAGGUGGCGGAGGUGCCAGGCCGUGGGCACGAGUGUGAAGGGCAACGGGGACAGGGCGGGGAGGCGCCGCCAGCUCCGACCCCCGCCCCGGCUGCCGGUUCCCUGGGGGUGAGAGAGGACUUUGUGCCCAGCGAGGCGCGCGGGCCCUGCCAGCGCACUGGGAGGUCGCGGCCCCGCAGCCAGUGGCGAGGCUGAGGGGACAGCGCGCAGAGCCGCUCCGGGUGCGCAGCGCCCGGCGCCCCUUGCCGCGGGAACGAAACUUGUGCAAUGUCCGCCCAGCGCCGCGGCGGCGGGCUCCCGGGGUGACCUCGUAAGUGAGCGGGCGCGGCUUCCACCCAGGUCACCGCGCCGCGCAGGGGCUGCAGACCCUGGCCUUGGGGCCAUUUCGCAAGCUUCUUGGAAAGUCACUCCUGUCGGUUAGCUGGGACUGCUGUGAACUCUGCCCCACCCCCUGGACACCCACGCUCGAUCGGGCCUGCCCAACUCUACCUGCGCACGCCGGCCAGCAAAUGCCAGUCUGUGCGCCUUCCAGAGCCGGGCUGAACACAGACCCUGGUAGCUCCCCGGUGGACCCAAGCUGUGUUGGUUACCCAGCAGCAGGGCCCUUGAAGGGGUGUUCGUGGAGGGCAGGCACUUGAGGCAGCAGUCAAAUCGCCGCUCAGGACGCCCGCCUCCCCGUCAGAGCGCCUGGGCUCCAGGGCCCACUCAGGACACCCGCCUCCCUGUCAGAGCGCCUGGACCCGAGUGCCCACUCAGGACGCCCACCUCCCCGUCAGAGCGCCUGGACCCGAGUGCCCACUCAGGACGCCCGCCUCCCCGUCAGAGCGCCUGGGCUCCAGGGCCCGCUCAGGACACCCGCCUCCCCGUCAGAUUGAGUCCGCUCAGGACACCCGCUUCCAGACAGAGCACCUGGACCCGCCGUGUUCAUUCAAGAUGCCCGCCUCCCAGUCAGAUCGCCUGGUCUCCA